UUUAAUAUCUCCAAAACCUGCACGUUUCCUCUGAUUUUAAUGGCGACCCUCAGGUUCCCGCCAAAUUAUUUCAACCCCACUCUACCCAUGUACCGUAUCAGGCCCCAUUUCACCAAAUUAACCCAUUUUUCCUCCUCUAAAUUUAGACCUAUUUCUGGCUUUUCCAAAUCUUGUUCUACUAUUGCUCCUUUCUCUGAAUUAACCCAUUUUUCCUCCUCGAAAUUCAAAAGCAUCUGUGGGUUCAGCAAAUUUUGUUACAUCACUCCCUCAUCUUUUGCAAUUGCACACGUUUCCUCCUCCAAAUUAAGAGGCUUUUGUGGGUUCGCGAAAUCAGGAGCGGAAGCGCCGGUUCAAGAGUUGGGCGAGGCCGAUAGUUGCAGAGCUCGAAGGACAGUGAAAAAAACUAGGGUUUCUGAGGCUGAGCUCAGAGAGAAUUGGCUUUCUUCUCUUACAUGUCCAUUGGAACCAGUAUCUGAGAUACCAGAUGAUGGGUAUGAAUGGGUUAUGGGCAUUGAUCCCGAUUUAUCGGGGGCCAUUGCGUUACUCAAAACUGAUGGUUCAGGAUGCUCUGCUCAGGUAUUUGAUACUCCUUAUUUGGAAGUUUUAGUUGGCAAAGGGGCACGAAAGCGCCUAGAUGUAAGGUCCACUAUCCUGUUGCUUCGCAGUUUUGGGGCACCACUCGGAACUACUGCAUAUGUUGAACAAUCAAUACCUUUUCCAAAAGAUGGAAAACAGGGUUGGUGGAGUGGAGGGUUUGGUUACGGAUUAUGGAUUGGUAUUUUAGUUACCUCUGGAUUUUCUGUUGUCCCAAUUCCUUCCCUUCUUUGGAAGAAUCACUUCGAACUCACUGGAGGCACCUCAACAAAGGAUGAUAGCCGGAACAGGGCGUGCGAGUUGUUUCCUUCUCUAUCCUCCUCGUUAAAGAGGAAGAAGGAUCAUGGGCGAGCGGAGGCUCUCCUUAUUGCAUCAUAUGGCAAAGGAAUGAAAAGAGAAGGGAUCCAGAGCUGCAUCAGUGGUUCUUAGCAUUCUUCUUCACCUACCUUCAUGGCUGGAGCUUUGGUAUGAAAGACACAUUGAGUUUCUCAAUGCAGGCCUUAAGCAACUUGGACCCGGUUAUAGUGUGUUAGAUGCCAAUCGCCCUUGGCUUUGCUAUUGGAUUAUUCAGUCGAUUGCUUUAUUGGGAGAUUCUGUUGAUGACAAACUGGAGGAUCGCGCAAUUGACUUUCUUUCCCGUUGUCAGAAUGCAUGAUGCAGGUGAAAUGGAUGUCCGAGCUUGCUACACUGCAAUUUCUGGAAGGGAUUUGUAAUUCGGUAAUGAAAGCUAGUCGAGGUCUAGUUGGUAAUAUGACAUAUCAGGGGAAUAUAAAGCCAAUGGUUUGGGGCUGAUAAUCAAGGCAUAUAGAAGAUGGUAAUGGUGACAUAUCACCUGGAUCGCCUAACCUAGGUGGUGCUUCAGCUCCAAAAUCUCUCUACAGUACUCCAUGAGAUUGAUCUUUAAGGGAUCUCAAUUUUUAAAUUUCGAGAUCUUGAUCCCCGCUAUUCGAGUUCAAGAUCCCAAAAGGUUGGAAGCAAUCCCAACCUGUUAAAGAUUACACAGUUAAUUUUUACAAAAAUUAAACAGUGGGGUCUUAAAAUAGUUCUAUUUCUCAAGAUUACAUUGUUUAAUUCUAGUUCUCAGUGGGAAAUUGUAAAAUUACACAUUGUACUCUUAAUUUCUUGCACGAUCCCAAAAGGUUGAGAAUAAUAUCCCCACAAAGUUGGGACCAAGAAACCCAUCAAGAUCCCCAAAAGAUCAAGA